rnacentral:rRNA from 1 species
GGAAUAUUGCACAAUGGGCGAAAGCCUGAUGCAGCGACGCCGCGUGAGGGAUGACGGCCUUCGGGUUGUAAACCUCUUUCAGCAGGGACGAAGCGCAAGUGACGGUACCUGCAGAAGAAGCACCGGCUAACUACGUGCCAGCAGCCGCGGUAAUACGUAGGGUGCAAGCGUUGUCCGGAAUUACUGGGCGUAAAGAGUUCGUAGGCGGUUUGUCGCGUCGUUUGUGAAAACCAGCAGCUCAACUGCUGGCUUGCAGGCGAUACGGGCAGACUUGAGUACUGCAGGGGAGACUGGAAUUCCUGGUGUAGCGGUGAAAUGCGCAGAUAUCAGGAGGAACACCGGUGGCGAAGGCGGGUCUCUGGGCAGUAACUGACGCUGAGGAACGAAAGCGUGGGUAGCGAACAGGAUUAGAUACCCGUG